AGCUAGUAUAGCUCAAUUGGUAGAGCAGCUGAUUUGUAAUCAGCAGGUUAUGGGUUCAAUUCCCUUUACUAGCUA
rnacentral:tRNA from 1 species